GAUGAACGCUGGCGGCGUGCCUAAUACAUGCCAGCCGAGCGAACAGAUGAGGAGCUUGCUCCUCUGACGUUAGCGGCGGACGGGUGAGUAACACGUGGAUAACCUACCUAUAAGACUGGGAUAACUUCGGGAAACCGGAGCUAAUACCGGAUAAUAUAUUGAACCGCAUGGUUCAAUAGUGAAAGACGGUUUUGCUGUCACUUAUAGAUGGAUCCGCGCCGCAUUAGCUAGUUGGUAAGGUAACGGCUUACCAAGGCAACGAUGCGUAGCCGACCUGAGAGGGUGAUCGGCCACACUGGAACUGAGACACGGUCCAGACUCCUACGGGAGGCAGCAGUGGGGAAUCUUCCGCAAUGGGCGAAAGCCUGACGGAGCAACGCCGCGUGAGUGAUGAAGGUCUUCGGAUCGUAAAACUCUGUUAUUAGGGAAGAACAAAUGUGUAAGUAACUAUGCACGUCUUGACGGUACCUAAUCAGAAAGCCACGGCUAACUACGUG
rnacentral:rRNA from 1 species